rnacentral:pre_miRNA from 1 species
GUAGUAUUCCCUCCGUCCCAAAAUUCUUGUCUUACAUUUGUUUAGAUACAGAUGUAUCUAACAAUAAAAUGUAACUAGAUACAUCCGUAUUUAGACAAAUUUAAGACAAGAAUUUUGGGACGGAGGGAGUACAAA